rnacentral:rRNA from 1 species
CUGCAGCCCGAGUGGUGAUCGAUUUUAUUGUGCCUAAAGCGUCCGUAGCCGGACUAGUAAACCCUUGGGUAAAUUGGGCAGCUUAACUGUCCAAAUUCCGAGGGGACUGCUAGUCUUGGGACCGGGAGAGGUCAGAGGUACUCAAGGGGUAGGGGCUAAAUCCUGUAAUCCUUUGGGGACCACCAGUGGCGAAGGCGUCUGACUAGAACGGAUCCGACGGUAAGGGACGAAACCCUGGGGCGCGAACCGGAUUAGAUACCCGAGUAGUCC